rnacentral:rRNA from 1 species
UAUGGCGACCGGCGCACGGGUGAGUAACACGUAUCCAACCUGCCGAUGACUCGGGGAUAGCCUUUCGAAAGAAAGAUUAAUACCCGAUGGCAUAGUUCUUCCGCAUGGUGGAACUAUUAAAGAAUUUCGGUCAUCGAUGGGGAUGCGUUCCAUUAGGUUGUUGGCGGGGUAACGGCCCACCUAGUCUUCGAUGGAUAGGGGUUCUGAGAGGAAGGUCCCCCACAUUGGAACUGAGACACGGUCCAA